AUGAUGCUGGUGGAUCUCAGGUGUGCCAGGUGUGCCCAGGUGUCUCCUGUGGCAGGUGGAGGAGUACAAGGAGCAGAUCCAGGUGUGCCCAUGUCCCCGUGUCCCUCCCAUGUCCUUCAGGAACACUGGGGACACGGAUCCAGGUGUCCCCAAGGGACAUUGGGGACCACUGGGGACAUGGAUCUGGAAUGUCCCCAAGUGCUCUGCUGGCCCCAAGGGACACUGGGGACACUUCAUGAGUGUCCCCAUGUCCCCACAUCCCUCCUGUGUCACUCAGGCACAUUGGGAACCCUUGGGGACACAGAUCCAGAUGUGCCCAAGGGACAUUGGGGACCACUGGGGACAUGGAUCCAGAUGUCCCCAAGAGCCUCUCGUGUCCCCAGGGGACACUGGGAACCCUUGGGGACAUGGAUCUGGAGUGUCCCCAAGCGCUCUGCUGGCCCCAGGGGACACUGGGGACACGUCACGGGUGUCCCCAUGUCCUGCCCAUGUCCCCAUGUCCUGCCCAUGUCCCCAUGUCCUUCAGGCACAUUGGGGACCCUUGGGGACACGGAUCAAGGUGUCCCCAAGGGACACUGGGGACCACACAGAUCUGGAAUGUCCCCAUGUCCCUCCAGUGUCCCCAUGUCCCUCAUGGGCACUUGGGACUCCCUGGGGACACGGAUCCAGGUGUCCCCAUGUCCCUCCCGUGUCCCUCAGGCACACCGGGGACCCUUGGGGACACAGAUCCAAGAUGUCCCCAAGGCCCUCCUGUGUCCCUCAGGGGCAUUGGGGACACAGAUCUGGGUGUCCCCAUGUCUCUCUUGUGUCCCCAUGUCCCUGAGGGACACUGAGGACUUCUUGGGGACACAGAUCCAGGUGUCCCUCAGGGGACACUGGGGACCCUUGGAGACACGGAUCUGGAGUGUCCCCAUGUCCCUGAGGGACACUGGGAAGGGACUCCUUGGGGACACAGAUCCAGUUGUCCCCAAGGGACAUUGGGGACCACUGGGGACACGGAUCCAGGUGUCCCCAUGUCCCUCCCGUGUCCCUCAGGCACAUUGGGGACCCUUGGGGACACAGAUCCAAGAUGUCCCCAAGGCCCGCCUGUGUCCCUAAGGGACAUUGGGAACCCCUGGGGACAUGGAUCUGGAGUGUCACCAUGUCCCUCAUGGGCACUGGGGAUUCCUUGGGGACACGGACCCAGGUGUCCCCAAGACCCUUUUCUGUCCCCAAGGGACACUGGGGUCACAGAUCCAGAUGUCCCCAUGUCCCUCCUGUGUGCCCAUGUCCCUGCCACAUCCCUCAGGGACAUUGGGAAGCCUUGGGGACACUUGGGGACACAGAUCCAAGAUGUCCCCAAGACCCUCCUGUGUCCCCAUGUCCUUCAGGGCACAAGGGACCCCUUGGGGACACAGAUCAGGGUGUCCCUGUGUCCCUCCUGUGUCCCCAUGUCCCUCAGGACCCCAUGGGGACACCACCCCCGGUGUCCCCGUGUCCCUCCUGUGUCCCCAUGUCCCUUGGGGACAUGGCUUCAGGUGUCCCUCAUAUCCCCCCUGCUGUCCCCAUGUCCCUCCUGGUGUCCCCAUGUCCCCCGGGGACAUGGACCGAGGUGUCCCAAUGUCCCUCCUGGUGUCCUCCUGUCCCUGCCGUGUCCCUCCCGUGUCACCUGGGCACACGGAUCCAGGUGUCCCCUUGUCCCUUCUGUGUCCCCAUGUCCUUUAGAGACAUGGGGAACCCCUUGGGGACACUUUCCCAGGUGUCCCUUUGUCCCUCCUGAUGUCCCCAUGUCCUUCCUGGUGUCCCCAUGUCCCUUAGGGACACUGAGGACCCUUUGAGGACACCACCUCAGGUGUCCCCAUAUCCCUCCAGGUGUCCCCAUGUCCUUCCUGGUGUCCCCAUGUCCUUUAGAGACAUGGGGAACCCCUUGGGGACACUGUCCCAGGUGUCCCUUUGUUCCUCCUGAUGUCCCCAUGUCCUUCCUGGUGUCCCCAUGUCCUUUGUGGACACUGGGGACCCUUUGGGGACACCACACCAAGUGUGCCCAUGUCCCUUGAGGACCUCUUGGGGACACCAACCCUGGUGUCCCCAUGUCCCUUGUGGACACUGGGGACCCUUU
ensembl:lncRNA